AAUCAACGCUGGCGGCGUGCCUAACACAUGCAAGUCGAACGAGAAAGUGGAGCAAUCCAUGAGUAAAGUGGCGACCGGGUGAGUAACACGUGAUUAACCUACCUUCGAGUGGGGAAUAACUUCGGGAAACCGAAGCUAAUACCGCAUAACAUCCCAAGGACGAGAAGCCCAGGGAUCAAAGGAGCAAUUCGCUUGAAGAGGGGGUCGCGGACUGGAUUAGCUAGUUGGCGGGGUAAUGGCCCACCAAGGCGAUGAUCAGUAGCCGGCCUGAGAGGGCGCACGGCCACACUGGAACUGAAACACGGUCCAGACUCCUACGGGGAGGCAGCAGUGGGGAAUUUUGCGCAAUGGGGGAAACCCUG
rnacentral:rRNA from 1 species